AAGAAGUCUCGACUCAUACCACAUCCCAAAAAUUAUUUUUUAAAGUCAAAUGGCCUAUGCAGCCUUAUUAUAAAAUCCAAAUGAUUCUUUAGAAAGGUCCAAUACCCGAUCCAUCGCCAAUCUUCAGAAAAAAAAGAAAAAGAAGAUAAAACUAAAUAUGCUAACAAAAAUCUUUAAAGCAGGAAAAUGGAAGGAAAAUAGUCAUGGUCGUCGGCUUCAUCAUCCAUUUGAGAAGAAACCAAAACUUAGCUAAAGAGAGAAAGGACAAGCAUCUGGAUCUAUGAGUGCAAACGAAAACCGAACUUUAGGAAGGAAGGUGAGCUUUGGUAUAUUUCAUAUAGGACAUGAAUAAGAUAUCACUAAUGUCAUGAAAUAACUUUGAUUAAAAACUUUUCUAAUCUUCUCAGAUAGAUCGGGCCUUCAAGCACUCCGAUAAUUACCUAUACAACCUCCCUAUAGAUAUCAAGUAAUGCCGAUUGAUGUUGAAUCAUUUAAUUUAUCCUCUUGACAGGUUGAGCUUAACGAAGAACUAAUACCACUAUCGAAGAAGAUAAAAAUCACUAAUUCAACAUGAACUAGCUGAGGUAAGUGGAAAAUUAUUAUUAAACUCCAAGCUCUGUUAACCAUAUAUACAUUUUUCUCAGCUCUUGACUUUUUCUUUUGCAGAUCAUUCUCAUGCCAGAUCUAAAGAAGGAAAUAAUUAAAGGAAAAAUUACACAAUAACUGUUUCAAUUUUUUUGAUGUCAUCUAUAAGACGAAUUAUUAAUGACUUGCCUUUUGUUUUUGUACUUGCCUUGUACUAUUCUUUCCAUGUUGUACCUUUAUUAAUUAGUUUUUGGAUUAUUGAACUUGAAAAUUCCUAUUUUGAAUUCUUAUAACCGUGAGACUUGGUGUCUUAUUUUUUUCCA
rnacentral:lncRNA from 1 species